GACGAACGCUGGCGGCGUGCUUAACACAUGCCAGUCGAACGAUGAACCCGGAGCUUGCUCUGGGGGAUUAGUGGCGAACGGGUGAGUAACACGUGAGUAACCUGCCCUGGACUCUGGGAUAAGCGUUGGAAACGACGUCUAAUACCGGAUAGGACCUUGGAUCGCAUGAUCUGGGGUGGAAAGUUUUUUCGGUCUGGGAUGGACUCGCGGCCUAUCAGCUUGUUGGUGAGGUAAUGGCUCACCAAGGCGUCGACGGGUAGCCGGCCUGAGAGGGUGACCGGCCACACUGGGACUGAGACACGGCCCAGACUCCUACGGGAGGCAGCAGUGGGGAAUAUUGCACAAUGGGCGAAAGCCUGAUGCAGCAACGCCGCGUGCGGGAUGACGGCCUUCGGGUUGUAGACCGCUUUUAGUAGGGAAGAAGGGCUUCGGCUUGACGGUACCUGCAGAAAAAGGACCGGCUAACUACGUG
rnacentral:rRNA from 1 species